UGGAGAUGUCUUCCUUUCCGUUAUCAAUGGAGGCACUCGGCCGUGCUGUGGGAAUAUAUUUCAUAGGUCCUUAGGCGUGAAUCGCCAGGGGUGCGGUGUGAGGAUGGGUUAAAUGCCUA
rfam:Paenibacillus selenitireducens strain ES3-24 ES3-24_scaffold2, whole genome shotgun sequence.